AAGUCAUAUGGACGGGGACAGAUGUUGCUGGGUGAUGGUGCACCUGGAUAAGUGCACAUAGUUCAGAUGGCAACGACCCACACAAGGACCCGGGUUCGAGCUCCCAGUCCCAACCUGCAGGGGAAAAGCUUCUGCAUGUCUGCAAAUGAAGCAUGUCUGCAGGAGCCAUGGAAUUAUGCAGGCAUGAAGCCCGAGUGAGACCCUGGCAGCAGAGAAAAGGAAAAAGGAACAUCAGGGAAUCUGUGAGCUGUGCCCCUUGGAAUGCUAUGUCACUGGAAAUAUAUACGGAACUGGAGCUUGAAGAGGCUGUCAAGGAAGUGCUAGAAUGCCUUAUUCUGUCCUUUCAUCUCAGGUUCUAUAAGGUGACCAAGCAAAACAGAACCCAGACUGUAAUGAGGGCUCCGAUAUACCACGCUGUGGAGACUGUCCUCCUGCCCAGGUCUGCGGCUGAUUGUCCUUGGCAGAGUUCUGCCUGCUGGAGACAGAGGGCUUCUGCUCUGGGAAGGGCAGCCCUGAUGUUCAGCGAUCCUCCCUCCUACACUUGGGGC